rnacentral:lncRNA from 1 species
GGCAGGAUUUUGUUAGUUGGAAAGCAGGUGACACAGCAAUUUGGGCAGGAAGGAAAUCAAGUUGCAGAAGUUGCUUAGGGAAACUUUCUUUAGCUUGCCCAUGGUGAUGUGAAGAUGAGAAGAAAUAGCAAGGCCCAACCAGUUCUUCAUCUGGAGACAGUUCAACGUUCUGCAAACCAGAAACUUACAACCAAGUUGAAAAGACAAGAGCCAUAAAAUAAAAUAAUAGCAAAUUAAUAUAAAACCUGGAUAAAGAAUGUAAUAACUAGAUGACCAAUUUGAGAGUGCUUAUUGGGACUUAUGAAGAAAAAGAAAUUGAAAAAAGGAGCUCUUUCUGAGAUGAAGAGAAUUCUCAAUGUCAAGAUUUGAACAAGAAGAGAAUGGAAUACACAAUAUGGACAUCCAUAAAAAUUCAUCAGAGAGCAUUUUACUACUGAGCUGCAAAGGUAGGAAAAAUAAAUUUUUUUUGGUUAGAAAAUAUACUUCUUUCAUCUGCGUUUCAAUAAUUUAUUCCCCUUGUUAGAUAUACAUGGAAUUGAUAUUGCUUAUUCUGACUAAGUGAAAAGUGUUAUUUCUACUUACUGCUCAAUUAGAAACAUGUAGUGUUUAAUUGUCAGUUUGAAUUUUUCUUUCAUACUAUUACAGUUUAUAUUUUACUAUAGGCAGAAUUUCCUCUUUAUCCUAAAUUUUGAUAUUCUCCAUAAUUUCAUCGUGCCUUGACAUUGCUGUAUAUAAUUUCUAUACAUCAGGAAGGCAAUUCUGUGUGCAUGUGUGUGUGUAUAUAUAUAGUUAGAAGUUAGAAACUGAAACUCUUUUUUGUCUACCAUCAUUUCAUAUUUUUCUUGCUAUUUCAAACCUAUAAUUUUUAAAGAAACGACUAACGUAAUCAUUCAUAGAAUAUGCUGUCAGUAACUUAACAAUAUAAAUGUUAACAUGGAGGCAUUUAGUUCAGCAUUUGCUUUACUUAAUAGAGUGCAGAAAAUGUGGCCCUUUUCUCAGUUAGGGUGUAUGUGAAGAUAAAUUUAGAAUUUCUAGACUAGUAAAUACUUCUCUGAUAAUAACUUAAUUAUAGCUAUUUCAAACCAAAUUGUUUAAUUGUGGUGAAUCAUAUGUAAAUUGUUCAGAUGUAGGUCAACACCCACGCCCACAUUCUAGCACCUCUUUCCUAAUUCAAGACAACUUUGCAGUGCCUAAAAGAGCUGAACAGUGCAGAUUAGAGACAUAA